UACGAAGGGGGCGAGCGUUGUUCGGAUUUACUGGGCGUAAAGAGCUCGUAGGCGGUCUGUCGCGUCUGCUGUGAAAACUCAGGGCUUAACCCUGAGCUUGCAGUGGGUACGGGCAGACUAGAGUGCGGUAGGGGAGACUGGAAUUCCUGGUGUAGCGGUGAAAUGCGCAGAUAUCAGGAGGAACACCGGUGGCGAAGGCGGGGUCUCUGGGCCGUAAACUGACGCUGGAG
rnacentral:rRNA from 1 species